GCGGGCGUAGCUCAAUGGUAGAGCUGCGGCUUCCCAAGCCGCUGACGUGGGUUCGAUUCCCAUCGCCCGCUCCA
rnacentral:tRNA from 2 species